CCUACGGGAGGCAGCAGUGGGGAAUAUUGGACAAUGGGCGAAAGCCUGAUCCAGCAAUGCCGCGUGAGUGAAGAAGGCCUUCGGGUUGUAAAGCUCUUUUACCCGGGAAGAUAAUGACUGUACCGGGAGAAUAAGCCCCGGCUAACUCCGUGCCAGCAGCCGCGGUAAUACGGAGGGGGCUAGCGUUGUUCGGAAUUACUGGGCGUAAAGCGUACGUAGGCGGCUUUGUAAGUCAGAGGUGAAAGCCCACGACUCAAUCGUGGAACUGCCUUUGAGACUGCUUCGCUUGAAGAUGGGAGAGGUUAGUGGAAUUCCGAGUGUAGAGGUGAAAUUCGUAGAUAUUCGGAAGAACACCAGUGGCGAAGGCGGCUAACUGGACCAUUCUUGACGCUGAGGUACGAAAGCGUGGGGAGCAAACAGGAUUAGAUACCCUGGUAGUCCACGCCGUAAACGAUGAUAACUAGCUGUCGGGGCUCUUGGAGCUUCGGUGGCGCAGCUAACGCAUUAAGUUAUCCGCCUGGGGAGUACGGCCGCAAGGUUAAAACUCAAAGGAAAUUGACGG
rnacentral:rRNA from 1 species